rnacentral:rRNA from 1 species
UUUAACUUGAGAGUUUGAUCCUGGCUCAGAAUCAACGCUGGCGGCGUGCCUAACACAUGCAAGUCGUACGCGAAAGCGGCCUUCGGGCCGUGAGUAGAGUGGCAAACGGGUGAGUAACGCGUGGGUGACCUGCCUUCGAGUGGGGGAUAACCUUCCGAAAGGGGGGCUAAUACCGCAUAACAUCCCGCCCUUGGAUGGGUGGUGAUCAAAGUCGGGGAUCGCAAGACCUGGCGCUUGAAGAGGGACCCGCGUCCGAUUAGCUUGUUGGUGGGGUAGCGGCCUACCAAGGCGUCUAUCGGUAGCCGGCCUGAGAGGGCGGACGGCCACACUGGGACUGAGACACGGCCCAGACUCCUACGGGAGGCAGCAGUGGGGAAUUGUUCGCAAUGGG